rnacentral:rRNA from 1 species
UUCCGGUUGAUCCUGCCGGAGGCCAUUGCUAUCGGAGUCCGAUUUAGCCAUGCUAGUCGCACGGGUUUAGACCCGUGGCAAAUAGCUCAGUAACACGUGGUCAAACUGCCCUGUGGACACGGAUAACCUCGGGAAACUGAGGCUAAUCUGUGAUACAGCUCUCACGCUGGAUUUGCAGAGAGCUGGAAACGCUCCGGCACCACAGGAUGUGACUGCGGCCGAUUAGGUAGACGGUGGGGUAAUGGCCCACCGUGCCGAUAAUCGGUACGGGUUGUGAGAGCAAGAACCCGGAGACGGAAUCUGAGACAAGAUUCCGGGCCCUACGGGGCGCAGCAGGCGCGAAACCUUUACACUGCACGACAGUGCGAUAGGGGGACUCCGAGUGCGAGGGCAUACAGUCCUCGCUUUUCUGUACCGUAAGGUGGUACAGGAACAAGUGCUGGGCAAGACCGGUGCCAGCCGCCGCGGU